rnacentral:rRNA from 1 species
GCAUAUCAAUAAGCGGAGGAAAAGAAACCAACAGGGAUUGCCCUAGUAACGGCGAGUGAAGCGGCAACAGCUCAAAUUUGAAAUCUGGCCCUUGGGUCCGAAUUGUAAUUUGUAGAGGAUGUUUUUGGUGCGGUAUCUUCCGAGUUCCUUGGAACAGGACGCCUUAGAGGGUGAGAGCCCCGUACGGUUGAAUGCCUAGCCUUUGUAAAACUCCUUCGACGAGUCGAGUAGUUUGGGAAUGCUGCUCUAAAUGGGAGGUAAAUUUCUUCUAAAGCUAAAUACCGGCCAGAGACCGAUAGCGCACAAGUAGAGUGAUCGAAAGAUGAAAAGCACUUUGAAAAGAGGGUUAAAUAGCACGUGAAAUUGUUGAAAGGGAAGGAUUUAUGACCAGACUUUUCCUAGGCGAAUCAUCCGGUGUUCUCACCGGUGCACUUCGUUUAGUUUAGGCCAGCAUCGAUUUUCGGGGCGGGAUAAAAGCUUUAGGAAUGUGGCUCCCUCGGGAGUGUUAUAGCCUAUUGUAUAAUACCGCCCUGGGGAUCGAGGUACGCGCUUCUGCAAGGAUGCUGGCGUAAUGGUUAUCAAUCACCCGUCUUGAAACACGGACCAAGGAGUCGAACAUUUGUGCAAGUGUUUGGGUGUUAAACCCUCACGCGUAAUGAAAGUGAACGGAGGUGAGAGCCCUUUACGGGGUGCAUCAUCGACCGAUCCUGAUGUCUUCGGAUGGAUUUGAGUAAGAGCAUAAAUGUUCGGACCCGAAAGAUGGUGAACUAUGCGUGGAUAGGGUGAAGCCAGAGGAAACUCUGGUGGAGGCUCGCAGCGGUUCUGACGUGCAAAUCGAUCGUCAAAUCUGCGCAUGGGGGCGAAAGACUAAUCGAACCAUCUAGUAGCUGGUUACCGCCGAA